UACAGAGGUGCCGAGCGUUAGGCGGAAUCACUGGGCUUAAAGCGUGUGUAGGCGGACGUCUAAGUACCUUGUGAAAUCCCACGGCUCACCCGUGGAACUGCUUGGUAUACUGGUUGUCUUGAGCCUUCUAGGGGCGAGUGGAACAAAUGGUGGAGCGGUGAAAUGCGUAGAUAUCAUUUGGAACGCCAAUGGUGAAAACAACUCGCUGGGGAAGUGCUGACGCUGAGACACGAAAGCCAGGGGAGCGAACGGG
rnacentral:rRNA from 1 species